AUUGAACGCUGGCGGCAUGCUUUACACAUGCAAGUCGAACGGCAGCGCGGGCUUCGGCCUGGCGGCGAGUGGCGAUCGGGUGAGUAAUACAUCGGAACGUGCCCAGUAGUGGGGGAUAGCUCGGCGAAAGCCGGAUUAAUACCGCAUACGACCUGAGGGUGAAAGCGGGGGAUCUUCGGACCUCGCGCUAUUGGAGCGGCCGAUGGCAGAUUAGCUAGUUGGUGGGGUAAAGGCCUACCAAGGCGACGAUCUGUAGCUGGUCUGAGAGGACGACCAGCCACACUGGGACUGAGACACGGCCCAGACUCCUACGGGAGGCAGCAGUGGGGAAUUUUGGACAAUGGGCGAAAGCCUGAUCCAGCAAUGCCGCGUGUGUGAUGAAGGCCUUCGGGUUGUAAAGCACUUUUGGCGGGAACGAAAAGGACUGUGCCAAUACCACGGUUCGAUGACGGUACCCGCAGAAUAAGCACCGGCUAACUACGUG
rnacentral:rRNA from 1 species